rnacentral:rRNA from 1 species
CCAGACUCCUACGGGAGGCAGCAGUGGGGAAUAUUGCACAAUGGGCGAAAGCCUGAUGCAGCGACGCCGCGUGAGUGAAGAAGUAUUUCGGUAUGUAAAGCUCUAUCAACAGGGAAGAAAAUGACGGUACCUGACUAAGAAGCCCCGGCUAACUACGUGCCAGCAGCCGCGGUAAUACGUAGGGGGCAAGCGUUAUCCGGAUUUACUGGGUGUAAAGGGAGCGUAGACGGCGAAGCAAGUCUGAAGUGAAAACCCAGGGCUCAACCCUGGGACUGCUUUGGAAACUGUGUGACUGGAGUGCAGGAGAGGUAAGCGGAAUUCCUGGUGUAGCGGUGAAAUGCGUAGAUAUCAGGAGGAACACCAGUGGCGAAGGCGGCUUACUGGACUGUAACUGACGUUGAGGCUCGAAAGCGUGGGGAGCAAACAGGAUUAGAUACCCGCGUAAG